AUGGACGGGAACACCACCAGCAGCAAGGCCAUGAUGGAGACGAUCCUCGCGCGCCUCGACGAGCAGAAGGUCGACAGCGACAGGCGGCUCGAGGCCCAGAUCGCCUUCAACACCCAGAUGAAUCGGCAAUGGAUGUACGGUCCCCGACUCUCCGGCGAGUUCACUACGGGUUUGAAAGAUUUCCUUGUAGUGGCAAAUGCGAACAAGCAGCAAGGUUUUAUUAUCUGUCCAUGUGCUGUCUGUAAGAAUCAGAAGGGUUACUCCUCCUCAAGAGACGUUCACAUGCACCUGCUUCAGCACGGUUUCAUGCCAAGCUAUAAUUGUUGGACCAAGCAUGGAGAAAGAGGGGUUAGAAUGGAAGAAGAUGAAGAAGGGGAUGAUAUCGAUGACAACUAUCAUGAUCAUUUCGGUGAUACUUUCAUGGAGGAUGAUGCUGAAGGUGGGGAAGGGUUAGGUGAAGGUGAAGAAGAGGCACAUGAUGAGCCCGCUGAUGAUCUUGGUCGGACCAUUGCUGAUGCACGGAGAUGCUGCGAAACUGACAAGGAUAGG
rnacentral:rRNA from 1 species